rnacentral:misc_RNA from 1 species
GGGAAGCAUCCUAAUUAGCACCUAACCACAGAUAAACAGAACUUCAGAACUGAUGCAAUUGCCCAUGUUUCAUUUCAAAUAUCUUAUUUAGUUGAGAAAGCAAAAUGGAAACCCAGACAAACAUUUAACCGAUUGCCACUUUAUGCGCCAUUGAAAUAAUUCCUUGCGUUCACAAACUUCAAAUUUAAUAAAACAGAAGUCAAUAAAGUGGUGAACUAACCUUGACUUCUGAUUUCUUUAC